rnacentral:rRNA from 1 species
CAAUGGGGUGACGUAGAAAGGUAGACCAUCGUGGUUUGGUUGACUACGUGUAAGCGUGUAGGGUGCUAAUCAGGAAAAUCCGGUUAGCAUUAAGCCUGAGGCGUGAUACCGAUCCAAUUAUGGCGAAGUGGUUGACCCUAUGCUACCAAGAAAAACCUCUAGGUAGUAAUUUGGUUCUCGUACCAAAACCGACACAGGUAGGUAGGUAGAGAAUACUAAGGCGAUCGAGAUAACCCUUGUUAAGGAACUCGGCAAAAUAACCCCGUAACUUUGGGAUAAGGGGUACCCCAGUAGCGUGAAGAAACUAGCUUUUGGAGCGCGAAAAGGUUGCAAUAGAAAGGCUCAAGCGACUGUUUACUAAAAACACAGGUCUCUGCUAAGUCGUAAGACGAUGUAUAGGGGCUGACGCCUGCCCGGUGCUGGAAGGUUACGAGGAGGAGUUAGGACUUCGGUCCGAGGCUCUGAAUCUAAGCCCCAGUAAACGGCGGCCGUAACUAUAACGGUCCUAAGGUAGCGAAAUUCCUUGUCGGGUAAGUUCCGACCUGCACGAAUGGCGUAACGAUUUGAGCACUGUCUCAACAAGGGACUCGGUGAAAUUAUAUUAUUGGUAAAGAUGCCAAUUACCCACAGAAGGACGGAAAGACCCCGUGAACCUUUACUGUAGCCUGAUACUGGAUUUUGGUCUAUCAUAUGCAGGAUAGGUAGGAG